rnacentral:rRNA from 1 species
UACGGGGGGAGCAAGCGUUGUCCGGAAUCACUGGGCGUAAAGGGCGCGUAGGCGGCCUGAUAAGUAGGGGGUGAAAUCCUGCGGCUUAACCGCAGGGCUGCCUUCUAAACUGUCAGGCUAGAGCACGGUAGAGGCAGAUGGAAUUCCCGGUGUAGCGGUGGAAUGCGUAGAGAUCGGGAAGAACAUCAGUGGCGAAGGCGGUCUGCUGGGCCGUUGCUGACGCUGAGGCGCGACAGCGUGGGGAGCAAACAGG